AUACGGGGGAUUCAAGCGUUAUCCGGACUUAUUGGGUUUAAAGGGUGCGUAGGCUGAUAAAUAAGUCAGCGGUGAAAUUUCGGGGCUUAACUUGUAGCUUGCCGUUGAAACUAUUUAUCUAGAGAUAUUUCGGCGUAUGCGGAAUGAAGCAAGUAGCGGUGAAAUGCAUAGAUAUGCUAAAGAACACCAAUCGCGAAGUCAUCAUUCUGGGAAACAUCUGACGCUGAUGCACGAAAGCGUGGGGAUCAAACAUGAUUAGAUUCCCUGGUAGUCCACGCUGUAAACUAUGAUAUCUAUCUUUUAGCUAUACACAGUUAGAGUGUACGAGAAAUCAGUAAGUUAUCCCCCUGUGGAUUACGUUCGCAAGAAUGAAACUCAAAUGAAUUGGCGGGG
rnacentral:rRNA from 1 species